GUUUUAUUGUAAUUUUGCAUUUGAAACAAAAUCUAACACAUGCAAAGCUGUUUGAUAGGGGAUUCACAUCACUCUUAUUAUCAUUUCAAACAAAGUUUAUACGAAUUUAAGCACACAGCUCAGUUCACCGUGUCACGCGCACGACAAACGAAAGUUACUCAAAUUGCCCUUUUCCCAAGCAAACUCUGAACCUGAGGUACACUAAAGUUUGUUAAUUUUUUUCCCUCCACCUCCUGUCGCCUGAUAUGAAACCAGUCGUAAGGAAAUCAAAGCUAACUGCGUCUUAACUAAUAUUCGGUACACGUGUUAAAAUAGCACAUGGCUAUAGGUUCUGAUGCAGGUGCAUCGACAAAAACCGCCAAAAACGUAACAAAGGGCGGAAGGCAAUUU